CUAUACAUGCAGUCGAGCGGACCGACGGGAGCUUGCUCCCUUAGGUCAGCGGCGGACGGGUGAGUAACACGUGGGUAACCUGCCUGUAAGACUGGGAUAACUCCGGGAAACCGGGGCUAAUACCGGAUGCUUGAUUGAACCGCAUGGUUCAAUCAUAAAAGGUGGCUUUUAGCUACCACUUACAGAUGGACCCGCGGCGCAUUAGCUAGUUGGUGAGGUAACGGCUCACCAAGGCGACGAUGCGUAGCCGACCUGAGAGGGUGAUCGGCCACACUGGGACUGAGACACGGCCCAGACUCCUACGGGAGGCAGCAGUAGGGAAUCUUCCGCAAUGGACGAAAGUCUGACGGAACAACCCCGCGUGAGUGAUGAAGGUUUUCGGAUCGUAAAACUCUGUUGUUAGGGAAAAACAAGUACCGUUCGAAUAGGGCGGCACCUUGACGGUACCUAACCAGAAAGCCACGGCUAACUACGUGCCACCAGCCGCGGUAAUACGUAGGUGGCAAGCGUUGUCCGGAAUUAUUGGGCGUAAAGCGCGCGCAAGCGGUUUCUUAAGUCUGAUGUGAAAGCCCCCGGCUCAACCGGGGAGGGUCAUUGGAAACUGGGGAACUUCAGUGCGGAAGGGG
rnacentral:rRNA from 1 species